UACGUAGGGGGCAAGCGUUGUCCGGAAUCACUGGGCGUAAAGCGCACGUAGGCGGGACGGUGCGUCGGUGCUGAAAGCGCCAGGCUUAACCUGGCGAGGCGUGCCGAUACGACCGACCUCGAGGCAGACAGAGGGUGGCGGAAUUCCGGGUGUAGUGGUGAAAUGCGUAGAGAUCCGGAGGAACGCCGGUGGCGCAAGCGGCCACCUGGGUCUGACCUGACGCUGAGGUGCGAAAGCGUGGGGAGCAAACCGG
rnacentral:rRNA from 1 species